GAGUUUGAUCUUGGCUCAGAUUGAACGCUGGCGGCAUGCCUUACACAUGCAAGUCGAACGGCAGCACGGGAGCUUGCUCCUGGUGGCGAGUGGCGAACGGGUGAGUAAUGCAUCGGAACGUAUCCUGGAGUGGGGGAUAACGUAGCGAAAGUUACGCUAAUACCGCAUAUUCUGUGAGCAGGAAAGCGGGGGACCUUCGGGCCUCGCGCUCUCGGAGCGGCCGAUGUCGGAUUAGCUAGUUGGUGAGGUAAAGGCUCACCAAGGCGACGAUCCGUAGCAGGUCUGAGAGGAUGAUCUGCCACACUGGAACUGAGACACGGUCCAGACUCCUACGGGAGGCAGCAGUGGGGAAUUUUGGACAGUGGGCGAAAGCCUGAUCCAGCCAUGCCGCGUGUGUGAGAAGGUCUUCGGAUUGUAAAGCACUUUAAGUUGGGAGGAAGGGCAGUAAGUUAAUAACCUUGACUGUUUUGACGUUACCGACAGAAUAAGCACCGGCUAACUCUGUGCCACG
rnacentral:rRNA from 1 species